GUGUCGUUCCCUGUCUCUCUUCGUAUCUUGCCGAAAUGUCCAUGCUGGCCAUGGUGUUUGGCUGUCAAAAUCUACAUGGGACAUAAUCUUCCGAGAAGGAAAUGAGAGCAUGUUUGUAAAGAAGAUGGCGGUAGCGAUUUGGGGGAGAGAUGCUCUCAGUGCUAGGAGUGUGCACGGUAUUCUCCCCAAUCGUGCAAAGGCUGAGGGCAAAGUCUCGGCGCAGCUCCCUAUGACACCCCAGAAGGUUGCUGCAAUCCACGCCUAUGGCAUCAGAGAGGCAACAGGAUGUGUCCGUCGAUCUCAAUCCUUGCAUCUCUGAUGAAAGUCUGUCUGGAGGACUCCUUCACUCACUACAAGAGGAUGAGAGGAGAGGAGCAGGGAGAGCUGCCAAAGGACGAAGAAAAAAAAAAGAAACAAAUUUGUCGUAAAAUGCCUCAACGAA